GUAGUUGUGGCUGAGUGGUUAAAGCAGUGGACUGGAAGUCUAUGAGGGUCAUCCCAUGCAGGUUCAAACCCUGCCAACUACA